rnacentral:rRNA from 1 species
CUACGGGAGGCAGCAGUGGGGAAUUUUGGACAAUGGGGGCAACCCUGAUCCAGCCAUUCCGCGUGAGUGAAGAAGGCCUUCGGGUUGUAAAGCUCUUUCGGCAGGAACGAAACGGUCGUCUCUAACAUAGAUGGCUAAUGACGGUACCCGAAGAAGAAGCACCGGCUAACUACGUGCCAGCAGCCGCGGUAAUACGUAGGGUGCGAGCGUUAAUCGGAAUUACUGGGCGUAAAGCGUGCGCAGGCGGAUUGUUAAGCAAGACGUGAAAUCCCCGGGCUUAACCUGGGAAUGGCGUUUUGAACUGGCAGUCUAGAGUGCGUCAGAGGGGGGUGGAAUUCCACGUGUAGCAGUGAAAUGCGUAGAGAUGUGGAGGAACACCGAUGGCGAAGGCAGCCCCCUGGGAUGACACUGACGCUCAUGUACGAAAGCGUGGGUAGCAAACAGGAUUAGAAACCCCUGUAGUCC